AACGAACGCUGGCGGCGUACUUAACACAUGCAAGUCGGACGAGAAAGGAGACUUCGGUCUCUGAGUAAAGUGGCGCACGGGUGCGUAACACGUAGGUAAUCUACCCCGAACUCUGGGAUAACUCUCCGAAAGGAGGGCUAAUACUGGAUAGGGUCCCCGAGGUGUAGGCUGCGGGGGAAACGGGACCGUCUGAUUCAUGCUCGUGGUUCGGGAGUGAGCUUGCGGCCCAUUAGCUUGUUGGAGGGUAAUGGCCUACCAAGGCUACGAUGGGUAGCUGGU
rnacentral:rRNA from 1 species